rnacentral:rRNA from 1 species
AUUGAACGCUGGCGGCAUGCUUUACACAUGCAAGUCGAACGGUAACAGGCCGCAAGGUGCUGACGAGUGGCGAACGGGUGAGUAAUGCAUCGGAACGUGCCCAGUCGUGGGGGAUAACGCAGCGAAAGCUGCGCUAAUACCGCAUACGCUCUCUGGAUGAAAGCGGGGGACCGAAAGGCCUCGCGCGAUUGGAGCGGACGAUGUCAGAUUAGGUAGUUGGUGGGGUAAAGGCUCACCAAGCCAACGAUCUGUAGCUGGUCUGAGAGGACGACCAGCCACACUGGGACUGAGACACGGCCCAGACUCCUACGGGAGGCAGCAGUGGGGAAUUUUGGACAAUGGACGCAAGUCUGAUCCAGCCAUGCCGCGUGCGGGAAGAAGGCCUUCGGGUUGUAAACCGCUUUUGUCAGGGAAGAAAAGGUUCUCUCUAAUACAGGGGGCUAAUGACGGUACCUGAAGAAUAAGCACCGGCUAACUACGUGCCAGCCGCCGCCGUAAGAC